GGAGUGGUUCUAUUUCCUGCCAACAGCAGCGGGUUUAUUGACACCCCAGCAGCAAGUGGGCGUCUCCUUCAGCUGAGAGGCGAGAUCACACCCAGGCAGCUGCUAUUUGCCCCUCCUCUCCUGCAUUAGGUGUGUGACCGGGGUGAGACAUCCUUGCUUCUGCAUGCUAAGACUCUUAGUUGGAAGUCUAGGAAAAAUGACCCAGGAAGAAAGGCUUCAGUUGUAACUGAUAAAUUAGAGAAAGUUGACAUUUAAGGAUUAGCUCCAUAGAUGACUUCAGGGCAUUACAAUUUGGAGCAUUAAAAACAUCACUUACCCCAAGGAAGAAAUCAAGAACUGGCAAGAAGUGAGAGCUGGGGUCAUAGUGGACACCAAAUGGUGAUGUAAUGAAUGCCCUUCUAUUAGCAAUGUGGCAGUCAAUGGGAAAAGUGGGACAGGCCUUCGGAUGGUGAGGAAAUGGCGGAAAUGGCCACAGAUCCUGGAAGAAAAGACAAGGAACUGUUUACGAAAGACGCACGUGAAGACGCAGAGACACAGGCACACAGGGAGGACAUCACACGACAACAGAGGCAGAGGCUGGAGUGAUGCGUCUUCCAGCAAAGAAAUGCCGAGGGCUGCCAGCAUCCCCCAGACACUAGGAGAGAGGCAUGGAACAGGUACGGUCUCCCUCAGAGCCCACAGGAGGAACCAGCCCUGCAGACUUUCAGCCUCUGGGACUGUGAGAGAAUCAAGUUCUGUUGUGUUAAGCCUGCAGUUUGUGGUGCUGUGUCACGGUGGCCGUAAGAGACCAGUACAGGUCUAUUACACUAUUCCAGUGCUCACCUCUCAGUACCUAAAGGAGGGUUCCUUCCUGCAGCAGGAGCUACCCUGCCCAGACCCCUGACCUCUGUUUUAGCAGCUAGAGAUGCUGCUAUAGGUUUGUGCCAGGGACCGUUUCUGGAAGGUUGCUUUCUGGAGGAUGGAGCCCUGCCCCACAGAUGCCUGAGAGGUAUGCGCCCUCCACCCAUAACCAGUGACACUCUGGAGGAAGACAGACUGGGUGCUCUUUACAGUCCAGAGCUCUCCGAGGCAUUGGACUGAGCCUUGUCCUCAGCUGGCCCCACAUCCUUGCUUAACUUCUGCCCCUGCCCCAUCCUGCUUCCUUCCCUCUCUCCCAAGUUUCUCCUGAGAGCGUCCCUGAUCCCAAAUCACCUGCACCUGAACCCUGUCUCAGCCUCUGCUCCUAGGGAGGCUGAGGAGACACUUUCCAGGGCCCCACUCGUCUGGUCUUGGGUUUAGGGCUGUCCUGAGGUGCUGGGGUGUGGCAUGUCCAUGUGGUGGAUUUAGACCAGGACUGAGUGAAGCCCUGGGGCUCUACCAGACAUCAAUGCCAUUGGGUGAUCUGUAGGGGAAGACACUAAUGAAGUCCUUGUGAAGGCUGGAGGAGGGAACAGCUGGCAGUCCCUGGUGUAGGUGACAGUAGGACCUUCCUCAGUGGAACCCUAAGAGUCACAGAAGGUGAUCGAGCACCCCAAUAACGUUCCUGUGGCUGUUUGUCAGACUCACCUGCCAGCUUGUCCUGCAGGGCAGCUUCUUGGCUCCUUCUCCAAGGCUCUGAAGUCUGUCCUCUCUCAAUGUCCUUUUUUCUCUCUCUUGCCUCCUCCUCAUAUAUUAAUUCAUUUAACAUAUAUUUAUUGUCAGCUUUGCCUCAGGCACUAUUCUAGAUGUUGGGGUCAGAGUAGAGGAUAAAAAAGACCAAGUCAGUGCUCUCACGGAGCUGAGGGUCGGAUGGGGAGACAGGAACACACGCAGCUGUGUCAGCUCAGGUCCAGCCUGGGAAGUCUCCUCAGAGG
rnacentral:lncRNA from 13 species